AGAAACACACACAAUGAUGCUCCAUUCUGUCAUUCUAAUUUCUGCCUUUGCAUAUGCAACGCAUGGAAAUGAAAUCAAACCAACCAAAACACUGGAGUUUGCUGAUGAGGGUUCAAGUGUUAAAUUAUCCUGCAGUUAUUCAUCUGCAUUAACUCUCUACUGGUACCGUCAGUAUCCCGGAUCAGCUCCUCAGUUCAUUAUGUUGAUCUCAGAUGGAUCAAAACAAGCUCAGGAGUCUAAUGUAGAUUCCAGAUUCAUUGCCAAAGUCACCAAAGACAAAGAAAGCCAUGUGGAUCUUAUUAUCUCCUCUGCUGCUGUAUCAGACUCUGCUCUGUACUACUGCGCUCUGGAGCCCACAGUGACAGGAAACACAAAAACACUGUACAAAAAACUGACACACAGCAUUGCAGAAACAGAAAGGGUGACAAAGAUAAUGUUAAAUAUGUUAUUCCAGAUAUUCAUAACAUUUUAUAAGGCAACCAUGUUCAAAGAGGUGAUAAAAGCAACUUUAAUUGCAUAUGCUUUUUCCCAGGUGGUGAGAAAAGAGGGGUUUAUACAGUAUCUGAGGGUAUUUUGCUGAACCUGACAGAGACUGUGUCAUAAGAUCAUUUAAACUCUGACUGUAAGCAUGCAGUACAUACUCAGUUAUUCUAAAAAUGAAUGAAAAGCUUUAUAACAUAAAGUAAAACAUAAGUAUAGUGGUGAUUAAGCAUUUGUUCAAGAAACCUAUUUAUACCAAUCAUACUUUCGGGGUUUGCAGAAUAUCAUCACGUUUAGCAAUUUCAGACUUAAUCCACAAGGGGUCAGCAUUGCUCUCUCCAUUUAUGAGUAUAUUAUGUGACAUGAUACCAACAUUUAAAGAAGACCUCUUUUUGAAAAUAGAGUUGAGUGAAAUUUCUGUUCCUUUACCUCAUAGAUCAACUAUGUUUAGAUGGGCAAUGAUUUCACUAUGCUUCAUAGCACAAUAUGAUGGUAAGUAAAUUUAAAGUAAAAAAAAAAAAAAAAACACAGAAAGUGCUCAGUUAUAUGACGAGGUGCAAAUCUACAUGAUACUGAUGCGCAUUCAACCCAUAUGAUCUUGUUACAUUUUCUAGACUGAAUCUCAAAACAAUAAAGAUAAUAAGAUUCCCA
ensembl:lncRNA